rnacentral:rRNA from 1 species
CGAACGGAUCCUAUCGGGAUUAGUGGUGGACGGGUGAGUACACGUGGAGAACGUGCCCUUAUGGUUCGGAACAACUCAGUGGAAACUUGAGCUAAUACCUGGAUGUAGCCCUAUCGGGGGAAAGAUUUAUCUGCCACUUGAGAGCUGGCCCUGCGUCUGUAUUACGCUAGCUUGGUGUGGGUAAACGGCCCACCAAGUGCGACGAUCAGUAGCUGGUCUGAGAGGAUGAUCAGCCACAUUGGGACUGAGACACGGACCAAACUCCUACGGGCAGGCAGCAGAGGGGAAUACUAUGCGCAAUGGGCGAAAGCCUGACGCAGCCAUGCCGCGUGAAUGAUGAAGGUCCAUCAGGAUUGUCCACAUUCUUACACCGGGAAACGAUACGGGAAGAGAAACCGGAAGAAGAAGCCCCGGGCUAACAACAAGACCAGCAGACCGAGGACAAACGAAGGGG